GGCCUCAGAGAGAGCUGCUACUCCUUGUCCUUCCUUCCUCCUACAAAGAGUUUCCUCGAUUGUUUCCCAAAUCCAAGAUGAGAGUUUUCUUCAUCCUGAAUUUCUUCUUCUUCAUGCUGGCUAUGUGUCUAGGAAGUCCCAGCUAAAUACCAAUAUUAUCCACCUUCACAAAAUGAAAAACAAGCCCUGCUUUCCUCUACAUCCCGAAAAAGGCAAACACCAUGUAACUAAAAAAAAACCAAAGUUGGGUUAAUUGCCACAGAUGCAUAUGCCACAUUUAUGGGAUGCACUGCAACCAGAGGUUCAAUAGUGGUUCAGAUGUGCCUCUACAAUGAAAGAUAAUGGUACGUCUACUGUUGUCAAUGUGCUAUUAUUUUGAUCUUCUCAGAGGAACCUGAUUAAAUCUCUUAAUAUGUGAAUGAAUCUGAAUAAACCUCACAUAACCAU